AAAUAAUUGCUCAAACCAAAACUAAUAAGAUUAAGAUGUAAAACCCAUAAUGUAUCAAAACAUGAAAAAUAUCCAACAAAAUUAUUAAUAGGAUUCAUUUGACAACAAAAACAUACGAAAGAACAACAAGAAACAAACUACGAUCGAUUAUCCAAGCUCACUACUUAGAUCUCUGUCUCAUCUUUCGGCGCUUCCUCUUCAAUCUCCUCAUACGCUUCUUCUUCCACUGCAAAAACAAACAAAUACAGUUCAAAUCAGAUACAGAAAUUAAGAUAAAAUCAGAAUAAGUGAUUGUAAUUCAUGUGUAAGAUGAGUAAAGUGGUGAAAUAGUUUACCUUGGCUCUCAUCUUGAACGGUGUUUUGCUUUGUCGUAAACCUAGUUGAU
rnacentral:lncRNA from 1 species